UACGUAGGGUGCGAGCGUUGUCCGGAAUUAUUGGGCGUAAAGAGCUUGUAGGCGGUCUGUCGCGUCUGCUGUGAAAAUCCGGGGCUCAACCCCGGACUUGCAGUGGGUACGGGCAGACUAGAGUGUGGGUAGGGGGAGACUGGAAUUCCUGGUGUACGCGGUGAAAUGCGCAGAUAUCAGGAAGAACACCUAUGGCGAAGGCAGCACUCUGGGGACGGUACUGACGCUGAGACGCGAAAGCGUGGGGAGCGAACAGG
rnacentral:rRNA from 1 species